rnacentral:tRNA from 1 species
GCCGGAGUGGCGGAAUGGCAGACGCAGGGGACUCAAAAUCCCCCGCCUUUCGAGGCGUGUGGGUUCGACUCCCACCUCCGGCACCA